CUUUCUUUGCAGGCGACCGGCGCACGGGUGAGUAACACGUAUCCAACCUGCCCUUUACUCGGGGAUAGCCUUUCGAAAGAAAGAUUAAUACCCGAUAGCAUAAUGAUUCCGCAUGGUUUCAUUAUUAAAGGAUUCCGGUAAAGGAUGGGGAUGCGUUCCAUUAGGUUGUUGGUGAGGUAACGGCCCACCAAGCCUUCGAUGGAUAGGGGUUCUGAGAGGAAGGUCCCCCACAUUGGAACUGAGACACGGUCCAA
rnacentral:rRNA from 1 species